rnacentral:tRNA from 2 species
GCUUGGGUAAUGUAAUGGUAGCAUACCGGUCUCCAAAACCGACUGUGAAGGUUCGAAUCCUUUCCCUCGCG